UGAAGAGAGAUGAAGACAGCCCGUCGAAGAAAAGAUGGUAUUUUUUUCUUCGUGGGGUCAACUUGAACUAUGUUAACGUACUCUUCACCCAGCGUCUGAUAACCUAAACAACGUGUGGAACAGAACACAGGCAAGGUCAAGAAACCAAAGAAGAAUUCAAGAGACCCUUUUCUUACAAAGCUGAAAUGCUGGCUGACCUGUUAGCAUAGUUUGGAGCGCAGCUUUCACACCCGGCAAUGGGCAGAUGUUUCAGCCUCCAACCUGAAGAACAGGUUCUGCAGCCGGAAAAGGAACGAAACGUCUGUUCGGGAUUGUUAGCACCAUCCGAUUCCUUUGCCUCCUCCCACUUUGAACUUGUUACCCUGGAGCCGAACUGUUUGAAGAAGGGCUGUAAGAGCUGCUUUGUGAUCAGCGAGCUGGGAACCCUCCGCAUGCAAAGCGAAGGGCGGAGCGUUUCCUCCCAGGCUCCGCGGUGCCCUCCCCUCUUCUUUUUGUCACUUAUGAAGGUUCCGAUGCUCUGUGCAGAGAAGCCGGGACAGCUCGUCUGCACUGUCCGGAGAGAAGAGAG